rnacentral:tRNA from 1 species
CGGGGCAACCACAGGAAACUCUGAAAAACAGCGAAAAUCAGUUUUGGGUACUGCAGGUCGUUGGUUCGAAUCCAGCUGCCCCGACCA